UGCAGUCGAGCGGACAGAAGGGAGCUUGCUCCCGGAUGUUAGCGGCGGACGGGUGAGUAACACGUGGGUAACCUGCCUGUAAGACUGGGAUAACUCCGGGAAACCGGAGCUAAUACCGGAUAGUUCCUUGAACCGCAUGGUUCAAGGAUGAAAGACGGUUUCGGCUGUCACUUACAGAUGGACCCGCGGCGCAUUAGCUAGUUGGUGGGGUAAUGGCUCACCAAGGCGACGAUGCGUAGCCGACCUGAGAGGGUGAUCGGCCACACUGGGACUGAGACACGGCCCAGACUCCUACGGGAGGCAGCAGUAGGGAAUCUUCCGCAAUGGACGAAAGUCUGACGGAGCAACGCCGCGUGAGUGAUGAAGGUUUUCGGAUCGUAAAGCUCUGUUGUUAGGGAAGAACAAGUGCGAGAGUAACUGCUCGCACCUUGACGGUACCUAACCAGAAAGCCACGGCUAACUACGUGCCAGCAGCCGCGGUAAUACGUAGGUGGCAAGCGUUGUCCGGAAUUAUUGGGCGUAAAGGGCUCGCAGGCGGUUUCUUAAGUCUGAUGUGAAAGCCCCCCGGCUCAACCGGGGAGGGUCAUUGGAAACUGGGAAACUUGAGUGCAGAAGAGGAGAGUGGAAUUCCACGUGUAGCGGUGAAAUGCGUAGAGAUGUGGAGGAACACCAGUGGCGAAGGCGACUCUCUGGUCUGUAACUGACGCUGAGGAGCGAAAGCGUGGGGAGCGAACAGGAUUAGAUACCCUGGUAGUCCACGCCGUAAACGAUGAGUGCUAAGUGUUAGGGGGUUUCCGCCCCUUAGUGCUGCAGCUAACGCAUUAAGCACUCCGCCUGGGGAGUACGGUCGCAAGACUGAAACUCAAAGGAAUUGACGGGGGGCCCGCACAAGCGGUGGAGCAUGUGGUUUAAUUCGAAGCAACGCGAAGAACCCUUACCAGGUCUUGACAUCCUCUGACAACCCUAGAGAUAGGGCUUUCCCUUCGGGGACAGAGUGACAGGUGGUGCAUGGUUGUCGUCAGCU
rnacentral:rRNA from 1 species